GAGAGGUCAUUUCAAGACUUUAAGUAACGUUGAUGCGAUGGCUACCAAAGGAAGGAAUGUAUUAGUCUUAUUUGAGAGUUUGGCAGGAACAAAGCAUAAAUAUGUUCGUAUAAGACCAAAAAUAGAUGGUCCUGGAGAAGCUGUGAUGUUUGAUCCAUUAGUACAAGAAAAAGUCCUGUACAGAGAAAUAAAGAAACUCAAGACAAUGAAAGACAAAAAGCCUUCAAAGUCAAAAUCAAAAUGAAAAAAAUGCAUUAGUGACAAAUCUGAAGUGUGUGAGAAUAAACAGUGUGUGAUGUUGUUGAUGGAAGCAAAUAACAUGUUAUUAAAAUUAUGAAUAAACAUGUAAAAUUUAAA